AUUUCCCUAUCUUCCACCAAAGCUUCCAAGAAACUCCAAACUCUCACCAAAAAACUCCAUUUUUGCCGAACCCAUACCCCUCUCCCUUUCUCAUCAAUUUUCUCACCAAAGCUUAGAAAUUUUGGAGGAGUUUCACUCUAUUUUCUAAGAUCCGGCAAGGAACGCAGCUAACGGACAAGGAGCACCUUAAACUAGACGACAGUUAAUCGAUCGAGGUUUUAGGAGUAGCAAGCGUCCUUCCUUUCAGGUAAAAUGUUUUGAUGUGACAGACUUCUAUCCUUGUUCAGAAGUCCGUAUUUUGGAAGUAUGUAAAUAAGAAGACGUCGAUCGAUAGUGCUGCAGUAGAUGUCAAGUCCUAGUUAUGAAUAUGGCUUUGCUGAACGGUUUUAAUGUUUUAUCCAACUCUGAUAUGUAAAUAAAGUUUUAAACUGCGCUUUUAACCGUUUACUAUAUUUUGCAAACCGGGCUAUGCUUGAUGUGUGACAUCGCAUGAUAAGACCCUGGCUUAUCGUACAUCGCUUCGGACGAUGUUACAAGUAUUGUAAAUAUUUCAAGUUAUGAAAAUGUUUUAUGAAGGAUUUUUUUA